UACAGAGGUCUCAAGCGUUGUUCGGAUUCAUUGGGCGUAAAGGGUGCGUAGGCGGGCUGUCAAGUCUGGGGUGAAAUCCCGCGGCUCAACCGUGGAACUGCCUCAGAUACUGACGGUCUCGAGGGGGAUAGGGGCGAGCGGAACUGUGAGUGGAGCGGUGAAAUGCGUUGAUAUUCACAGGAACUCCGGUGGCGAAGGCGGCUCGCUGGAUCUCUUCUGACGCUGAGGCGCGAAAGCUAGGGGAGCAAACGGG
rnacentral:rRNA from 1 species